rnacentral:rRNA from 1 species
GAUUAGAGUUGAUCCUGGCUCACAUUGAACGCUGGCGGCAGGCCUAACACAUGCAAGUCGAGCGGAUGACGGGAGCUUGCUCCUUGAUUCAGCGGCGGACGGGUGAGUGAUGCCUAGGAAUCUGCCUGGUAGUGGGGGACAACGUUUCGAAAGGAACGCUAAUACCGCAUACGUCCUACGGGAGAAAGCAGGGGACCUUCGGGCCUUGCGCUAUCAGAUGAGCCUAGGUCGGAUUAGCUAGUUGGUGGGGUAAUGGCUCACCAAGGCGACGAUCCGUAACUGGUCUGAGAGGAUGAUCAGUCACACUGGAACUGAGACACGGUCCAGACUCCUACGGGAGGCAGCAGUGGGGAAUAUUGGACAAUGGGCGAAAGCCUGAUCCAGCCAUGCCGCGU